UACAGAGGUCUCGAGCGUUGUUCGGAUUUAUUGGGCGUAAAGGGUGCGUAGGCGGUCUGGCAAGUCAGGUGUGAAAUCUCGGAGCUCAACUUCGAAACUGCACUUGAUACUACUAUGCUAGAGGGUUGUAGAGGAGACCGGAAUUCACGGUGUAGCAGUGAAAUGCGUAGAUAUCGUGAGGAAGACCAGUUGCGAAAGCGGGUCUCUGGGCAAUUCCUGACGCUGAGGCACGAAGGCUAGGGGAGCAAACGGG
rnacentral:rRNA from 1 species